UGACAUCACAUAUAUGGCGACU
rnacentral:miRNA from 1 species